UACAGAGGGGGCAAGCGUUGUUCGGAAUUACUGGGCGUAAAGGGCGCGUAGGCGGCCUUCUAAGUCGAACGUGAAAUCCCCGGGCUCAACCCGGGAACUGCGUCCGAUACUGGAAGGCUUGAAUCCGGGAGAGGGAUGCGGAAUUCCAGGUGUAGCGGUGAAAUGCGUAGAUAUUCGGAAGAACACCAGUGGCGAAGGCGGCUCACUGGUCCGGUACUGACGCUGAGGUGCGAAAGCGUGGGGAGCAAACAGG
rnacentral:rRNA from 1 species